CAGUCGCCGCGGUAAUACGUAGGGUGCGAGCGUUAAUCGGAAUUACUGGGCGUAAAGCGUGCGCAGGCGGUUAUAUAAGACAGAUGUGAAAUCCCCGGGCUCAACCUGGGACCUGCAUUUGUGACUGUAUAGCUAGAGUACGGUAGAGGGGGAUGGAAUUCCGCGUGCAGCAGUGAAAUGCGUAGAUAUGCGGAGGAACACCGAUGGCGAAGGCAAUCCCCUGGACCUGUACUGACGCUCAUGCACGAAAGCGUGGGGAGCAAACAGGAUUAGAUACCCCCGUAGUCCCUGUCUCUUAUAC
rnacentral:rRNA from 1 species